GCCGGGAUGGUGAAAUUGGUAGACACACAAGACUUAAAAUCUUGCGACCGUGAUGGUCGUGCGGGUUCAAGUCCCGCUCCCGGCA
rnacentral:tRNA from 1 species